AUUGAACGCUAGCGGGAUGCUUUACACAUGCAAGUCGAACGGCAGCGCGGACUUCGGUCUGGCGGCGAGUGGCGAACGGGUGAGUAAUGUAUCGGAACGUGCCCAGUAGCGGGGGAUAACUACGCGAAAGCGUAGCUAAUACCGCAUACGCCCUACGGGGGAAAGAAGGGGAUCGUAAGACCUUGCACUAUUGGAGCGGCCGAUAUCGGAUUAGCUAGUUGGUGAGGUAACGGCUCACCAAGGCGACGAUCCGUAGCUGGUUUGAGAGGACGACCAGCCACACUGGGACUGAGACACGGCCCAGACUCCUACGGGAGGCAGCAGUGGGGAAUUUUGGACAAUGGGGGCAACCCUGAUCCAGCCAUCCCGCGUGUGCGAUGAAGGCCUUCGGGUUGUAAAGCACUUUUGGCAGGAAAGAAACGUCGCGGGCUAAUACCCCGUGGAACUGACGGUACCUGCAGAAUAAGCACCGGCUAACUACGUG
rnacentral:rRNA from 1 species